CGGAGGUGACGUGCACGUGACGCGAUCGAGCUGGGAGAUGGAACCGAGGAGUGGAUACGGCAGGUCCACGCGAAUGAGAAACAAAGACCGCACUGCGAGACUUUGAAAUACAUACUUCCAAAGAUAAGUUGCAUUUGGGCAAGUUCGUUCUCGCUGGAGUGACGUAUCGGGAGAUCCAUUGUUGCCAGGAUCACCCCUCGCCAGAAGAACAGAGUUCUUUUUCGAACUGUUCUUUUUCGAACAGGUCGCGCGUCGGUGGUUGCCCCUUGCUUCCGAUUCCGGUGUGAUCCUUCUCUAGUCAUUUGGUCACGGCGGUUGUUCGUUCGCGGUUAAUCGGAGGAAGUCCGGGGGGAGGGGUGGAGCGCGACCAGUUCCCAACCAUAUUUUCGACGGAGCCCCGAGUUUUCCACGGACCAUGUCGCACCAAACAGGAAUUAAAGCGAACGACGCGCUUAAAAAGUUGUUCAGCAAGUGUCGGGAUGGAAAGAUACGAGUCUUGAAGGUUUCCAUCGAGAACGAGGAACUAACACCUGCUGCUUCUUCCAAGCCAAUAAACAAAUGGCAGGACGACUACGACAAGAUGAUCAAACCGCUGAUCAUCGAAAAUCAACCUGCGUAUAUUCUUUAUCGACUCGACACUAAAUCUCCUGAUUCUGGCUAUGAUUGGUUAUUUAUCUCCUGGUCACCAGACACUGCUCCAGUUAGGCAAAAGAUGUUAUAUGCGUCGACCAAAGCAACUUUGAAGCAAGAGUUUGGCACUGCAUCUAUAAAGGAGGAAUUGCACGGUACAGUGCCAGAGGAUAUAACUUUGGAAGGUUAUCACAAAUACAAGAGAAAUAAUGCUGCACCUGCGCCGUUAACAACUGCGGAGGAGGAAUUGGCGGAGCUUAGAAAGAACACGGUCACUACGGAUUAUAGUGUAGAAACAAGGCAUCAAACGUUGAGCGGUGUUGCUUUUCCUGUAACUGAUGAGGCAAAGCAAGCGAUCACAGAGCUUGGUAAAGGUAUACAUGAAUAUGUACAGUUGAAGAUCGACUUAGAAGAGGAAAAGAUACAUUUGGUCAUGGCUUGCGACGUUUCGUUGGAUAAAUUGCCAACAAAAGUCCCAUCUGAUUCUGCUAGAUAUCAUCUUUAUAAUUUCAAGCACACCCAUGAAGGAGAUUACAUGGAAUGUAUAGUUUUUAUAUAUAGCAUGCCAGGAUAUAGUUGCAGUAUUAAGGAAAGGAUGUUAUAUUCAUCUUGUAAAGCACCUCUGUUAGAGCUUAUUCAAUCACUUGGAGUUACUAUAACGAAAAAAUUGGAAGUAAAUAGUGGUGAGGAAUUGGCAGACAUGUUGGAAGAUCCUCCAACCAUAAAAGAAACAGCUGCAAUAACUCCUGCAACUCCAUCAACGCCUUAUGCUCCUCCUCAAUCUAUACCCGAGAAAAAGUCAAAGCAGAAGAAAUCUUGUAUUUUGAGUUAACCGAGCCUAUGCUUUUUGUUUGCUAUUUUUAAAUGUUUCUCGAACGUUAUAAAAUAUUUCAGAUAUUUUACUCAUCUAAUAUCUUCCUUCGUAAAUUCUGAACUUGUGAUAAUAUGAUAUUAACCGAUUGAAUGUGUUAUGUAAUGUAAGAUGAUGUAAUUGGUUUCGGUAAUGACUUCGAUAUUAGCUCAGUAUAGUUAUACAGUUAUUCCGAAGUAAUUUAAAUGAGAAAAUAUUUAAUGUGCAUCUUUACAAAGAUAAAUCUUUUAUUAAUUAGCGAUAUAUUUAUUGAUAUUUAAUAAUAAUUGGUCAAAGUGAUACAUAUAUCUAUGUAGCAAUUCAGAGUAGACCAAACGAUGUAUUUUUCUAAAUUUUAAAGAGCAAAAUUUUCAUGUUAAGAUCUUAACAAAUAUCUUUUUGAUAACUAUGGAAAACUCACAAUGCAUAGAAUUUUCAUAAGAUGCAGUUCUUGUUGAUCCAAUACUAUAAUGUAAUGGAUAAUUGUUCAUUCAUACAGAAAAUACUGUGAGAAAGAGGGAAAAAAGAGAAAAAUCAUGAGCUUGAAAUAGAUGAUGGAAGAGAACUAACUGAAGGAUUUUUACAAGAGGAAUUACAUCCAAAAAUCAGUUUGCAUCAACCAAAAUUUGCGAAACCUAAAGGUCCACCAGGCAGAGGGGCAAAACGUUUAACCAAG